AGAGUUUGAUCCUGGCUCAGAACGAACGCUGGCGGCGGGCCUAACACAUGCAAGUCGCACGAGAACGCCCUGGCUUGCCAGGGCUAGUAAAGUGGCGCACGGGUGAGUAACGCGUGGCUAAUCAACCUCGGGGUUUGGGAUAACGCACCGAAAGGUGCGCUAAUACCGGAUAUGACCACGAUGUCUGCGGACGUUGAGGUAAAAGGGGGCCUCUACUUGUAAGCUCCCGCCCUGGGACGAGGCCGCGUCCCAUUAGCUUGUUGGUGAGGUAACGGCUCACCAAGGCCGCGAUGGGUAGCUGAUCUGAGAGGAUGAUCAGCCACACUGGAACUGGAACACGGUCCAGACUCCUACGGGAGGCAGCAGUGAGGAAUCUUGCGCAAUGGGGGAAACCCUGACGCAGCCACGCCGCGUGGGUGAAGAAGGCCUUCGGGUUGUAAAGCCCUGUCAGGUGGGAAGAACCGCAAGGGGGCGAAUAGCCUCUUUGCUUGACGGUACCACCAAAGGAAGCACCGGCUAACUCCGUGCCAGCAGCCGCGGUAAUACGGAGGGUGCAAGCGUUGUUCGGAAUUACUGGGCGUAAAGAGCGUGUAGGCGGCUUGGUAAGUCAGAUGUGAAAGCCCUCGGCUUAACCGAGGAAGUGCAUCYGAUACUGCCAGGCUUGAGUCCCGGAGAGGGUUGUGGAAUUCCCGGUGUAGAGGUGAAAUUCGUAGAUAUCRGGAGGAACAYCKGUGGCGAAGGCGACWWCCUGGACSRWKACUGACGCUGAGRCGCGAARGCGUGGGGAGCAAACAGGAUUAGAUACCCUGGUAGUCC
rnacentral:rRNA from 1 species